UGCGUCACCUACUAACUUGGUAUCAAACUCAAUACAACUAUAACAAGUUUUCAAUCAUCAUUUACGUGAGUCGAAUUUGAAAAUAUUAAUAGAUUGUAAUACUAGUUAGUUAUAUUAUAUUGAAAAUUAUUCGAAGUGAGAAUUGUUGUCGUCCAUCCACAUUAAAGCAUGUGGAAUGUUAACAACGCUCAAGACGGUGUACAAUAAAGUUCCUCUGUAAUCCGAACGGCAAGUCGAUUAGCAAAAGGGAGGGAAACUUUUGGAGCCGUACAGAAAAAAAGAUGCGGGAUGACCUUGCGUGCGGUGCUGUGGUGUAUCAGCUCCACUUUGGGAGAAGGGUGGGUGAUCGUGUGGUGUGUUCAUCUAUUUACAAAGAGGACCCAAUUCAGCCGAAAGCUUGACAUAUGAAAAGCAUUGGGCUGUUGAACUGUGAAGGGAUGCGAAGCUGAAAACUUGCAUAAGUUAGUCUCUUUGCUAUAUACUUGACAGACGCCAUUUUUCACGAAGGUUACCGAUUCCAUUCCGAAUGCCUUGGCUUUUUGCUGCUUUGGUGCCUCUGGUAUUGUUCGAAAUUUCGAGUUAGAGUGGUAUGAUGGCAUUGUUCUGUACUGCAUUCUAGUCAGUAAAAGUUAAUGGAUGAGUAGGAUACUUACCAUGUCCUGUGGUGAAGAUUGUUCAUAUCAAGUGGUAAUAUUUUUCUGUGGAAGCAUUAAACUAUUUGGUGACUUGGAAUUUUCUCUUUACUUACUUGUAAUUGGAAAAAAAAAGGUGUCUUAUAAAUGUGGUAAUUUGGAUUCACAGAAGGAUGACUGAGGUUAAGUGUGAAUUUAUAACUCGGCAUUCGAGUCAAUUAGUAAUUACUCAAGGAAACAAAGAAAUUAUUGGUCAGAAGACAAACGGAAUUGAGAUUCCUCUCUUUUUAUACUGUAUGUACCUUGAACUGGGUGAUAUCGUAGACCUGAGGUGCCCGGAAUGAUGGUUGCAUCACGAGGAACAGUUUUCAAAUUGUGUUAGGAUCUAAACUUUUAUUAUCACACAUCUGAAAAUUUAUUUGGACUGCUGAGAAUCAUUUGUUAUAAUGAUUUCGUGUUUUUUUAGGGAAAUCGUCUUACUUCCUCAAAUUUUUAUAGCUUCAAAUUGGUUUCAAUCAUAGUGACUGCAGUUUCUCACUUAGGUUAGAAAGCUAUGGCAGAAAUAUAUCAACUUCGAUUUGGCAAAAGUUUACAUCUUUACGGAUAUUUUGUUUGUUUAGGAUUAUCAUAUCAACUUCGAUUUUUGUGUACAGCUCCAGGGGCAUCGAUGGGAGAAAUCCUAGGUUGCCAUCUUUGUGUUCAGUGGAAUCUGGCAGUAGUUGCUUCGCAUGUAAUUUCCUGGUCCAAACUUUUUCAAGACAACUAGUGAAUAUCAGAAUAUCACGGUUCAUUCUUUUACUCAGUGCUCUCCUUCUCCUGUAAUCUCUUGCAUAGAAAAUGUGCCUCAAAGUUCUAAUCUGUCACAAAUUACAGACGCAAAUACAGAACAUGGUCAAUCAGUCUUCUAAUAAAUCAGCAUCAUCUGGGGUGCUGCAAAUGCUUGCU